UCACUUUGGCAGCACAUAUACUAAAAUUCAGAUGAUAUAGAGAUUAGCAUGGACCUUGAACAAGGAUGGUGUGCAAAUUUGUGAAGUGUUCCACACUUAA
rnacentral:snRNA from 1 species